rnacentral:rRNA from 1 species
AAACCAACCGGGAUUGCCUCAGUAACGGCGAGUGAAGCGGCAACAGCUCAAAUUUGAAAGCCCGCGGGCGUUGUAAUUUGCAGGCGGAUGUUUUGGGGCGGGCGCUGUCUACGUUCCUUGGAACAGGACGCCGCAGAGGGUGAGAGCCCCGUGCGAUGGCGCCUCCAACCGCGUAAAACUCCGCCGACGAGUCGAGUUGUUUGGGAAUGCAGCUCCAAGUGGGUGGUAAAUUCCAUCUAAAGCUAAAUACUGGCGAGAGACCGAUAGCGAACAAGUACAGUGAUGGAAAGAUGAAAAGCACUUUGAAAAGAGAGUGAAACAGCACGUGAAAUUGUUGAAAGGGAAGGGUAUGCGAUUAGCGGCCAGCAGGAGGUGCCUUCUCGUGAAAAGGCCGUGCACCGUCUUCGGACACCGUGCGCGGAGAUGGCGAGGGGGCGCCUGAGGUCUGCGACU